CUGUGGCUGAAAAGAAUCCCAAUUAGAAGAUCUGACUUCACACAUGCAAAGCUGAAAGGUACAAGAUGAACAAAAGGAGGGACAAUAAUAAAAAAUUUUACUUUCUUAAUCUUAGUAAGGACAAGCACUUACUAAUGUCCUCCAGAUUACUGUUACUAAUCCAGUAUCAGUGAAUGUUCAAUCAGUGCUGAUACUGGUAUUACUAUUCACGGGACAUACCCUUGGAGCUGCUUUUCCAGGCAUAGUAAAGGAAAAGACUGUUCUGCAGACACCACAUCAAGUCCUCCCUCACUCAGCCCCAACAGAGGACGGACCCCAUCCAUGGAGGCAGAGCCACAGCUUCAGUCCUGGGAGAAUUACACACUGCCCGACUCAAGUGUUAAACUCCUUGGCGCUGUGAAGCUCAGGUGACUUAAGAUAGAUUUUCCUUUCUCAGUAAAUGAAGUCCAAUAUAUUUCUUCUCUUACUUCUGUUUUCAUUUUUCAUCUUAACUCAUGACAAUGCUCUUUAAAGAAU
rnacentral:lncRNA from 1 species